UAAUCUCGGAUCAGAAUGCCGCGGUGAAUACGUUCCCGGGGCUUGUACACACCGCGCGUCACACCACGAGAGUUUGCAACACCCGAAGUCGGUGAGGUAACCCUUCCGGGAGCCAGCCGCCGAAGGUGGGGCAAAUGAUUGGGGUGAAGUCGUAACAAGGUAGCCGUAUCGGAAGGUGCGGCUGGAUCACCUCCUUUCUAAGGA
rnacentral:rRNA from 1 species